AGAGUUUGAUCCUGGCUCAGGAUGAACGCUAGCUACAGGCUUAACACAUGCAAGUCGAGGGGAACGACAUCGAAAGCUUGCUUUUGAUGGUCGUCGACCGGCGCACGGGUGAGUAACGCGUAUCCAACCUGCCCAUCACUUGGGGAUAACCUUGCGAAAGUAAGACUAAUACCCAAUGAUAUCUCUAGAAGACAUCUGAAAGAGAUUAAAGAUUUAUCGGUGAUGGAUGGGGAUGCGUCUGAUUAGCUUGUUGGCGGGGUAACGGCCCACCAAGGCAACGACCAGUAGGGGUUCUGAGAGGAAGGUCCCCCACAUUGGAACUGAGACACGGUCCAAACUCCUACGGGUGGCAGCA
rnacentral:rRNA from 1 species